UUGGAUCAAUGGGGGUGUAUUCUUUUUGACGCUGAUGGCCGUGGUUCAUAGGAGCUUCACUCCGGUGGUGACUGACGAACGACGGCGGUGCUAAAUCCGCUGGAAUCAACCACGGCAGCCAUGAUCUUCGAGCUUUCUCACCCCGAUGCUUUGCCAGCCAAAUCACAAACUGUAACAGCCCGUCGGAGAUUCGAAUAAACCCGCAUCGCCGCAUCAUAAACCCGCAUCGCCGUUCUUCGACUUCACAGGCCAAAUUGCGUUUACGGCUGGCGUUUCUAAUUUGUCAGUUCUGCUUUUACUUUGUUGUCUCUUUCGUCAGGUGCAAUUGUAUACGUUUGUGGGUUGUCGCCGUUUCGUAGCUUCUUCCUGGGGUGCAUUUCGUCCGACAUUGUUUUCUCUCUUAGGUUUGUGGAAAAACAAAGGUAGAUUUUGCGAUUUCGGUUAACAAGAGAAUGUAUAAUAAAUUCACAUCAUUGCCGUAAAAACUUACUAA
rnacentral:lncRNA from 1 species